CCGCGGUUGGCGUAGUGGUAUAACGCGUCACUCGAUUCUAGUGAAGAUCCCGGGUUCGAAUCCCGGACCGCGCA
rnacentral:tRNA from 2 species